UUGAUCGCAAGUGAGAGUUGGGUGGGCAAACUCAGGGGACAGCUUCAACUAUUCUUCUUCAAACUAGAGGAAGGUUGCGGCAAUAACAGGUCUGUGAUGCCCUCAGAUGUUCUAGGCUGCACACGUGCUACAUUGAUCAGCACAAUGCGAUACAUUUCGAAAGGAAACAUCGGUUUUAAGGUAACGUCGAUUGCCUACCGAUAGCACCUGGUCCCCAGUGGACUGGGCAAUCUCUUCUAAAUGCUGGUAAGGUACCCACACUCGAGCUAUUUAAUCACACGCGGGAGGCACACACGGUUCAAAUCUCAUUUGCGACUGUUGCCGCCAUGACGUAUGCAACUUGUCAAUUCUUCGUGGGGAUCGUCGAUUGCAACUAUUCGACUCGCCACAACUAGGAAUGCCUCGUACGGGUCUCGGUUCACCAUACCGCCCGG
rnacentral:rRNA from 8 species